rnacentral:rRNA from 1 species
CCUACGGGUGGCAGCAGUGAGGAAUAUUGGUCAAUGGGCGGGAGACUGAACCAGCCAAGCCGCGUGAGGGAGGAAGGUACAGAGUAUCGUAAACCUCUUUUGUCAGGGAACAAAGGCGGGGACGUGUCCCCGGAUGAGUGUACCUGAAGAAAAAGCAUCGGCUAACUCCGUGCCAGCAGCCGCGGUAAUACGGAGGAUGCGAGCGUUAUCCGGAUUUAUUGGGUUUAAAGGGUGCGCAGACGGGUUGUUAAGUCAGCUGUGAAAGUUCGGGGCUCAACCGCCGCCCUGCCGUUGAUACUGGCAGUCUUGAGUUGGAUAGAAGUAGGCGGAAUGCGUGGUGUAGCGGUGAAAUGCAUAGAUAUCGCGCAGAACUCCGAUUGCGAAGGCAGCAUGCCGGCUCCACACUGACGUUGAGGCACGAAAGUGUGGGUAUCGAACAGGAUUAGAUACCCUAGUAGUC